rnacentral:lncRNA from 1 species
UGAGAAGUACCUAACAAUCAGAAGUAUAGGCGCAAAAUCAAUAACGGAGCUCACAAAACGCCUGUCAAAGUCCCACAACAUGCAAACUUUUUCAAAUUCUCUGUCAAUGCACUACAGCUUUUCUUUCUGAGUUGACCCUUCAGCAAUUUUGAAUCCUUAUCUUGCUAAAGAUGUAAAUAAUUUUUGAAACCUUCUUAUGAAUGCAAAUUUAUCCAUAAUCCCACACCGGUUAAGACAUACGGAUGCCAAUUUUUGGCGAUUGUCUAGAUCAAAUCCAUAUUCCACACCAAUUUUUAGUUAAAUAAGCACAAGAAGAGAAUCUUGGAAUUUAUUAAAAGAAUUGAAAAUUGCUGAAGCAAGAUAUUUGUGCAUAUAUGUCAACCUUUGAUAUAGGUACACAUGGAAACAUACAGUCAACAUUGCCUCAAUCAGCAACUGAAUCCAAGUGGCUAAAACUAAAACCUAGACAUAAUAGCCAGGUUCAUAUCCAAAGCUAAGAAUGAUGAUAUCAGAAAAGAUUCAAAAUCUUAUGGAGGACCAUUUGUUUCGUUAAAAACUGCGAACAAAAAUGACCAGAAUUAAUAAAGAAUCCCUUUUUGUUCUUUAAAUGCACAUUUUAGUUACCUGUCGCCAGUGCGAUCUGUUCCAUAUGAAUAGGCUAAUAAAAAUUUAAUUCACAUGAACCAAAUUAAAAAAUUCAAACCCAACUUGAUCCAGAUUUACAAACCAUUCACUUAUUGAAAUUGAAACAAGUUAGGUCACACAUAUGGAUGAUGACAGACCAGGCAAGAGAGGCAGUUGGAGUUGGCUUAAGGGUCCAAAAUGGUGACAUGAUUCGAAGUGAGAGAAGUGAGUACUGUUGGUUUUCAUGCGCAUGUGAAUGUGCCAGAAUUUGGAUAUACAAUAACAAAGCAAUCAUGAAUUCCAAAAUUGCAUUGGGACCAGUGGGGAACACUAAAAUAGAUAAUUCAAAAUUAGCUCCUAUGCAACAUUUAAGCAAAUGAUUGUAUGACUGCUAUACCACUAAACGUAAAGUACUUAAGGUAUUUUAAUCACACAGAAAAGGAAGGAGUAUACAUCUGAGGAGUAAAGGAAACACAUUUAUUUCAUAACAAACUACCUAUAAUGGCAAACAAGAACCACAAGAAAAAGAUAACAAACAACUGCAGAGACAUAAACCCAGUUUCGGCUACCAAUCAUUAAUCAUAGAUUCUAUCAACCAUAACUAAUUGCAUUUGCUGGUCAUACAUUGGACACCUAUUGAUCCUUUGAUUACAAAGGAAACAAUAAAAAACUAACACACACCAAUGCAGUAUAUGAAGCAUGAUUAAUGAAAAAGUUCAAAGCAUUCGCCUGAGGGAGAACCAUGGUUCUCUAUCACCGGAAUGAAUCAAGUAUGCCAAUCAAUCUACAGCUCUAAGUGUAUAACUAUAUAGAGGCGAUACAAUUAUCAUAAUUAAGCAUUGCAAUUAUGCUGUUCCAGAUGUUGAUGUAAAAUAGGUAGCUAGAGCCACUGGAGGUUAAAAAGUUUCUACUAGCUCGUUUUCACAGGGAUCUUGAUAUAGCAAAUGGGAUACAGGUGUGAUUAAAGAGAUAUGUACUUGGAUAACAUUCAACUAUUUGUCAAGAACAUCUUAAGCAAAAAAUCUAUGUACAUCAAAACAUGGAGAGAAGCGAUCAGAUCAAGUUCAUAUCAAGAUUAACAUAAGCAGUUUCCAUUACCAGUCGGAUCGACUCCGUUCCAACUCAGUCUGGAAAACGCAAGUCUAUUCCUCAAACAUAUGGGUACAAUCCAAUCAAGAAGACGCAAAACCCAAUGUAAACUGCUCCAGCAACGGCAAUCCACAAACCCGUUUUAAUAACCCACCAACAGGAAACCGAAGAACGAAUCUGAUGGCAACAUGAGGUACAUCUAUCGAUAAGAACCUUAAUCAAGAUCGCAAUCCUCACAGACGAUGAUAAAGGAAAUAAAACAGAGUCCAAGAACCCGACCUAAGAUCACCUAACGACAGAAGCGGAAGAUAGCUUCGAUCUCACGUUUGAAUGAGGCAAAUUGAUCGAUAAGAACCGUAUGCAAUCAAGUUCGAUAAGAACCCUAAUCAAGAUUUUCAAUCCUCACAGACGUAGAUGGAGGCAAAGAAAAUAAGAAAGAGAGAAGAGAUUAGAGCAUCGGAAGAAGGAUCUUUAGGGAAGAUAUCUAAAGAUGGAUACCAAAUCGAUCGACAAGAACCCCGAUCAAGAUUGCAAUUCACACGGAUGAUGAUAAAGGCAAAGAAAGAAAUAGAGAGAAGAGAUUAGGGCAUCAGAAGAGGACCUCUAAGGGAACGAUCAAGAGAAGGAUACGUCUCGUUGCGCCCAUUCCUCGCUCUCCUCCUCGUAUUAAUAACGAGAUCUCAGAACUCUAAAAACAGACGCGGCAGAAAAGCAUUGAUCUCAUGACAAAUGAGGCAAAUCGAUCGACAAGAACCUCGAUCAAUAUUGCAACCCUCACGGACGGAGAUGAAGGUAAAGUAAGAAGGAGAGAAGAGAUUAAAUGAUCGGAAGACAGAUCUUUAGGGAGAGAAUCGAAAGGGUACCCCUCGUCGCCCAUUCCUUGCUCUCCUCCUCCUCCUCCUCCUCCUCAUCCUAAGAACCCGAUAAGAAUCCCUAACAAUAUAUACAGAAGAUAGCAUCGAUCUCAUGACGAAGUGAUCAUCGAUCGACAAGAACCCGGUCCAAGAACCUAGCAUUAUAAACAGAAGAGAGCAUCGAUCUCAUGACGAAAUGAGGCAAAUCGAUCGACAAGAACCCUAACAUCAUAAAUAGAAGAGAGAAUCGAUCUCAUGACAAAGUGAGGCAAAUCGAUCGACAAGAAAGACAGAGCGAAAAGGGGAUCGGACGACGGAUGUCUAGGGAAAAAGAUCGAAAGAAGUACACCUCUCGUCGCCCAUUCCUCCUGUCCUCCUCUCCUCGCGUCCUCUCUGUUCGGUGAGUUUACGAC